rnacentral:rRNA from 1 species
CGGAGGGUGCAAGCGUUAAUCGGAAUUACUGGGCGUAAAGCGUGCGUAGGUGGUUUGUUAAGUUAGAUGUGAAAGCCCUGGGCUCAACCUAGGAACUGCAUUUAAAACUGGCAAACUAGAGUAUAGGAGAGGAAAGUGGAAUUUCAGGUGUAGCGGUGAAAUGCGUAGAUAUCUGAAGGAACAUCAAUGGCGAAGGCAGCUUUCUGGACUAAUACUGACACUGAGGUACGAAAGCGUGGGUAGCAAACAGGAUUAGAUACCCUGGUAGUCCACGCCGUAAACGAUGACAACUAGCCGUUGGGAGGAUUUACCUCUUAGUGGCGAAGCUAACGCGUUAAGUUGUCCGCCUGGGGAGUACGGCCGCAAGGUUAAAACUCAAAGGAAUUGACGGGGACCCGCACAAGCGGUGGAGCAUGUGGUUUAAUUCGAUGCAACGCGAAGAACCUUACCUGGUCUUGACAUACACGGAACUUUCCAGAGAUGGAUUGGUGCCUUCGGGAACCGUGAUACAGGUGCUGCAUGGCUGUCGUCAGCUCGUGUCGUGAGAUGUUGGGUUAAGUCCCGUAACGAGCGCAACCCUUAUCCUUAUUUGCCAGCACAUCAUGGUGGGAACUAUAAGGAGACUGCCGGUGAUAAACCGGAGGAAGGCGGGGACGACGUCAAGUCAUCAUGGCCCUUACGACCAGGGCUACACACGUGCUACAAUGGGAAGGACAAAGGGUCGCAACCUCGCGAGAGCAAGCUAAUCUCAUAAACCUUUUCGUAGUCCGGAUCGGAGUCUGCAACUCGACUCCGUGAAGUCGGAAUCGCUAGUAAUCGUAGAUCAGAACGCUACGGUGAAUACGUUCCCGGGUCUUGUACACACCGCCCGUCAUACCAUGGGAGUGGGUUGCACCAGAAGUAGCUAGUCUAAC